GUGCCUACGGGGCGCAGCAGUAGGGAAUUUUCGUCAAUGGGCGCAAGCCUGAACGAGCAAUGCCGCGUGAACGAGGAAGGUCUUCGGAUCGUAAAGUUCUGUUGAAGGGGAAAAAGAGCGGAGAGAGGAAAUGGUCUCCGAUUGAUAUUACCCUUCGAGGAAGUCACGGCUAACUACGUGCCAGCAGCCGCGGUAAUACGUAGGUGGCGAGCGUUAUCCGGAAUGAUUGGGCGUAAAGGGAGCGCAGGCGGUCCUGCAAGUCUGGAGUGAAACGC
rnacentral:rRNA from 1 species